CCCGCUGGCGAGGGCCGUAUGCCGAGCUACUGUAACCCGCUGGCGAGGGCCAUAAUCUUUGCCAACUAUUGUUCCCCGUUGGCAGGGUCUAAGCCAAGCUACUAUAACCCACUGGUGAGGGCCGUAUGCCGAGCUACUGUAACCCGCUGGCGAGGGCCAUAAUCUUUGCCAACUAUUGUUCCCCGUUGGCAGGGUCUAAACCAAGCUACUGUAACCCGCUG
rnacentral:lncRNA from 1 species